CCGGGAGGGGCCUUGCUGAUGAUGUGGCGGUGGGAUUUGCAGCUCGGAAAGCGCUUAGUUCCACCUGUUGGUGCUUAUUCUUCUGCAGGAGUUGGAGUUGAGUUCGCUCUCGUCUGUCUGCCGAGGUGGUCACAUGCACAUCCGGAGGCUCUCGAUCCGCGCUUCCCACUCGGCGGCGUUCCCUUUCUCCGUCUCUCGGGCGACGCCAUGAACUCGUUCCUGCUAGUCGAUCGUCUUGGUGCUCGAAGAAGAUCUGGCGCGAUGGAGGUGAGUAUCGACGGCGCUGAAGCGCACCGGUGACUUUCUCUAGGUCUUCGUCUUCGUCCUCUCCUACGCUCAGCCCGCCGCCAUCGCCUUCAGUUCUCAGCGGCCGGUGCAACGUCUUCGGAGAUCCUCCGUGGACGGGGUCGUGGACCGAGUCCUCUGCCCAGGCAACUCCCCGGUUCCUCCUCGCCGCCUGAUGGCACCGGCGGCGAGUUCCGCAGGAACGAGUCCAUGCCGUCGUCAAGCGGCAAGGAGGAAGCGAGGAGUUCCAUG
rnacentral:lncRNA from 1 species